AGAGUUUGAUCCUGGCUCAGGAUGAACGCUAGCUACAGGCUUAACACAUGCAAGUCGAGGGGCAGCAUGGCAGAAGCUUGCUUCUGCUGAUGGCGACCGGCGCACGGGUGCGUAACGCGUAUCUAACCUACCCCUGGCUCUGGGAUAGCCCAUCGAAAGAUGGAUUAAUACCGGAUGGUUUCCUUUGGCGACAUCGCCGUUGGAAUAAAGAUUUAUCGGCCUGGGAUGGAGAUGCGACUGAUUAGGCAGUUGGCGGGGUAACGGCCCACCAAGCCUGCGAUCGGUAGGGGUUCUGAGAGGAAGGUCCCCCACAUUGGAACUGAGACACGGUCCAAACUCCUACGGGAGGCAGCAGUGAGGAAUAUUGGUCAAUGGGCGAGAGCCUGAACCAGCCAAGUAGCGUGCAGGAUGACGGCCCUAUGGGUUGUAAACUGCUUUUGUGCGGGAAUAAAGUCGCCCACGUGUGGGUGUUUGUAUGUACCGCAAGAAUAAGGACCGGCUAAUUCCGUGCCAGCAGCCGCGGUAAUACGGAAGGUCCGGGCGUUAUCCGGAUUUAUUGGGUUUAAAGGGAGCGCAGGCGGGCUGUUAAGCGUGACGUGAAAUGCUGGGGCUUAACCUUAUGUAGUGCGUCGCGAACUGGCAGUCUUGAGUGGGUACGACGUUUGCGGAAUUCGUGGUGUAGCGGUGAAAUGCUUAGAUAUCACGAAGAACUCCGAUUGCGCAGGCAGCAAGCGAGUCCCUUACUGACGCUAAAGCUCGAAGGUGCGGGUAUCGAACAGGAUUAGAUACCCUGGUAGUCCGCACGGUAAACGAUGGAUGCCCGCUGUUGGCGAUAUAAUGUCAGCGGCCAAGCGAAAGCGUUAAGCAUCCCACCUGGGGAGUACGCCGGCAACGGUGAAACUCAAAGGAAUUGACGGGGGCCCGCACAAGCGGAGGAACAUGUGGUUUAAUUCGAUGAUACGCGAGGAACCUUACCCGGGCUUGAAUUGCAGAGGAAGGAAUUAGAGAUAAUGACGCCCUUCGGGGUCUCUGUGAAGGUGCUGCAUGGUUGUCGUCAGCUCGUGUCGUGAGAUGUUGGCUUAAGUGCCAUAACGAGCGCAACCCUUUUCGAUAGUUGCCAUCAGGUUAAGCUGGGCACUCUGUCGACACUGCCGCCGUAAGGUGUGAGGAAGGUGGGGAUGACGUCAAAUCAGCACGGCCCUUACGUCCGGGGCUACACACGUGUUACAAUGGGAGUUACAGAGCGUCAGGCGCCGGCAACGUUGUCUUAAUCGCUAAAGUCUCCCUCAGUUCGGAUUGGGGUCUGCAACCCGACCCCAUGAAGCUGGAUUCGCUAGUAAUCGCGCAUCAGCCAUGGCGCGGUGAAUACGUUCCCGGGCCUUGUACACACCGCCCGUCA
rnacentral:rRNA from 1 species